rnacentral:piRNA from 1 species
CAAUUUGUAGAGAGGGCAAAACCCC